AAAAGCAUGGAUAAAAGAAAGAGACUGGAUUGGCCUUGUGGGCGGGCCACGCGCGCCGAGGGUGCGAGCGAACGUACAUAGCGCUGUCAUAACGCUCAAAUGUUCAUACUUACCGGCUAGCAAUCGCUGUCAUGUUUUGACAGCGUACGUAUCUCCGCAAAAAUAUUAUAUUAUGCCGUCUUGCGCUAUUAUAACGUGUCGGAAAAGAAGCCAGGUGUGUAGCAUAGCACGAGAAGGAAUUUCUUUUCACCGGUUUCCAACAGAUCCAGGUGUAAGAAAAUUGUGGAUUGACACAACUGGUAGAAUAAUGUUUUUUUUUCAAGUUCCACCACACAGAUUAGAAACUGCGUAUAUUUUUAUUUCCACCAUAUUUAUCCAGACAUUGGUCUUAAAAACUAAGCUUAUCUAGACACACGGCAGUGUGUCCGCCAAGUUCGAGCAAAAAACCGACACACCGGCCGUGGGUUAUAUUACACGAACCAUUUCGGGCCAAGUUCGACCCACCUAUAACUCAAAAUCUAUUUUAUCUACGCAUAUGAAAUUUCUAGUAUCUGUCGAGAUCUACUUACUUAUCUAACAUACAAAAUUUCAUAAAUGUACCUAUUGUAGGUCUUGAGAUAUCGACGUCAGAAAAUCGCUAUUUUUACUAUACACUCACUGACUGACUGAUGACUCACUCACUCAUCAAAAACCUAGACCACUUCCAAUGGUCGUAUUGACUUGAAAUUUGGCAUGGAGGUAGGUCUUUAGGUCAAGGUAAAGGAAAAAAUCUGAAAAUGGCCAAGUGUGAGUCGGUUUUAAAAAUAAUGAAGGUGUAAAUUCAUACCCCUAAGGAACUAAAACAAAAAAAUUAUCUAUAUCUUCCAAUGGUCGUACCGACCUAAAAUUCGUUACGAAGGUUUAUAUUUAGUCAAAGUAAAGUAAAAUAAGAAAAAAAGAAAAUAAACCUUACAAAAAUAAAUGAAAUCCCACCCAAAACAUAAAUGUGAAAGGCUGCCAAGUUCGAUAAUAUUGGAAUGCUUCGCCUAUAAAAGAAGUGAGAUCUAAAUAAGUACCAAGUUCCAUACACAGACUUCAGUUAAAAAUGAUAUAACUUGGUAAGUUUUAAUAGAAAAUUAUAUACUUGACUCAUUGCGUUUAGUAGGUUUAUAACAAAGUGUGUGAAAACUUGCCAAAUUGUUAUAUCAUUUUUAACUGAAGUCUGUGUCUCAGGCGUUUAUCCGCACAAUAUCGCAAUGUGUAAUUCAGUAAGUCUGAUUUUAUUUUAGAAAAUUUUAAAUUAGUCUCUUUAAAUCAGUUUUUUUGUCUAAAAAUGGCGAUAUUUAAAAUAUCAUCUUUCGUAAAUUUAAAAAAUGAAAUAAUAUAACCAUGUUAUUUCAAUGUGUUCUGUACUUUAUACAGAUUAUUGUAAAUGUGAGAGCCCUGUAAUUAGCUAAAUUAGACUAGUAGAAUGCAUUUGUGUCAGCUUAGAGUUGUCAUGCUCACUCAAAGGUCUCACUGGCGGUGGCACGGGCAUUGGAUCGUUCGAUUCCCUGCAACAUGGUUGAGUUGGACGGUGCUGGUGUACGUGCCAUGUUGGUGAACGAGCGCUGUAUUAAUUUUGUUGUUCUGAAGGUUUUUUUUCUUUCGCUUUGACUGAAUAUUAGUUUUACAUUGUUCUCACAUAGUUCAAGCAAUCGAUGCAAAGAAAAGCAAUGUUAUCAAGAAUUGUAUUGUGAAUCUGAUUGAAAAAGAUCGAACGAACAGAUCUUCGAUCUUCUCCAUAGGAAUCUACACUUUGGAACGAGCAAAUAGCUUCACUAGAGGGCUGACCGACAGACAGACGUUAUUAAUAUUAUUAUAUUUGCUUUGACGUUCAAAAGUGCCUAUGAUUUAUUUAUUUUUUACUGAUUUUUAACUUAUUGAGUAAUAAAAUUGGUUUUAAAAUUCA